UAGGCGAUUUCCGGUCACAAGUUUCAGAGGAGUAUAUAUUGAGUGCUGUGAGGAUAUCUAUCCGGCUUUUGCUGGCAAGAUCCCAUCGAAACUCAUCGACUACUCCGGGGGAAUCAAGCGUCCUGGUCCGAUCCACUUCGGUUUUGGUUAUAAAUAUAUAUAGGGUUUUCCACCUUGCGCUGGCUGUGCCUCUUCUGUUUAUGUAUUUCCCUUCCGUAUCUGCUUACACUGGUUCUAUGCAUCGAUAUCCUUCCUGCACAAAUACAAACAUAUCAUGAACCAUGAUGAGAGUCCGAUCUAUUGCAUCGAAUGCGAUUAGGGACAUGAAAGAGAAAAUUCGGAAAAUUAUUAGAAAGUCAACAAAGAAAACUGGUAAGUUCUUGUGUUUUGAAACAUUCAAGUCUCAUCCUGUUAUAGCCAGCCAGCCAGCCUGUGUCCGCAUCUAAGCUUGAAUUUGAUUGCGUUGUUCGUCAAAUAUAUGGUCCGUAUUUUCUUCCUGGUACAGCAUUUUUGUCAAGUGCACAAUCAACUUGAAGCUAGCUUCAAGAUUCUCUUCUAGUACAGUUACAGGCUUUGGAAUCUAUCAUUAUUACAAAUACGUACAUUGAAUGUUUA